ensembl:lncRNA
ACCCCCGGCCACCCCGCCCCUUUUUGAUGGCGAAAACUUUAUUUAAAAAAUCGAUGUCACCGUCCCCAGUCCGCGAGUUCCCCGGUACCAGCAGAGGUGCAGGAUGAUGGCAAGGCCUGGGCUGUCGCUUGUGCCUGGAGGGUCUGCCGCGACUGGAAGACUCAGUUUAGAGGACGAGUUAGUUAGUGCGGAUUCUUCACCAGCUGAGCUACCAAGAAGGGCGAAGCUCCAGCCAAAGAUCCGGAGAGAAGAGAGAGGAGAGCCGGCAACAGCCUUGGGGCCCCAGGGCCACCCGUGGGAGGGGACGCCGGGAGUGCGCGCGGAGGCAGCAGCGGUCCCUGGACAUCAGGGUCCUUCCAAUGAGUCAACUCUUCGCAUCAGAUGGCCAAAGUAUUGGAGCUUCUUACCUCUCUCCCAUCGUUUCCCACUCUUCUUGGAUUACAAAAGCCCUACACUAUCUGGUCUUUGCUGCCUCCCACCCCGGCCUGAGUUUUUCCCUCUCCCCUUGAUUUGCUAUGUCACUCCCACCAUGCUGGCCUUUCCCUUCAUCCAACACACUCAGCUUGCUCCUUUUAGGGUUUUACACUGCUUCCUCCACCAGGAAGAUUCUGUCCCCAUUGCACACAGCCAUUCAGGUCUUAACUCAAAACGUGUGCUCAGAAGAGGCC